AAAUAAAAAUAAAUAAAUUCCUUGUUUUGUGACCAAUUGAAACAAAAACAAUAGUAAAUCAUGAUACUACAUUACAUCAAUGAGGCACACUCAUUUUUAUUCCAUUUUCAGCAUUUUUAGGAAUUUAUUUGGUCAAAAAUUAGCAGUUUUCUUCAAUAGCUUCCAGGUCAUGUGACCUACUGACACAAAAUCUGUCUGAAAUUGUCCUACUAGACUGGAUAGAUGAGGCACACCUUUUUUUAUUCCAUUUUAAGUCUUUUUACAUUUUUUAGGAUUAUUUUUAGUUCAAAAUUAGCAUUUUUCUUCUAUAGUACUACCUUGCUACCGCCAUGUUGAGUACCGAACGCUAAGCUCCGUGGCGCUUUCUCUCAGACCAGAAUGGAUCGUUCUCAUUUAAAUCCCCACGAACUUAAACGAUAUAAUGAAAAAAUCGUUGUUAUUGGAUGCGAUCCAUACGAAGUUCCUGCAGACUGUUUUCAACACCUUUCAUCAACUGACAGGCUUCCAGAUUCUUCCUUCCACGACUUAUACAUAUAUCUGAUACACAACCCGUCUUCAUACACCGGGGAAAGUCUGAAAGCUUUUAAAAGCACGGAUGCCUAUCGAUAUUUCACGGCUGGCUGGGUCAUUGACCCGAAAAUAUGGUAUCAGAAGAACAAGAAAAUAUUCUUGUGUAAAGCAAAGGUAAGUCGUGUUCUACUGAUCUUUAUGCUUGAUGUAAACAGCGGCUAACACUGUUAGCAUUGCAAAGGGGUAAGCUAGGAUCAUUUAAAUCAUCCACUGAAACAUAGAGCAGGACUAAUGAUUAAUGUAAGAGUGAUGUUAAGGUCCUAAAUAAACAUUUUUGAAAUUUCAAGGGGUGUGUGAACGAACAUCAAGCUCCUGACUGUUGCAAAAAGUCAUGUGGGGGGUUCCGAGUACCUGAGGUUAAUAUGUUGUACUUGUCCCAAGAAAGUUAAAGUCUCACACUCAUCUUGAUAAGUAUUUUCUAGUUCUACUUUACUAAUAGAUCACAUUCUUUAACUUCAGGUGAAUCACUCUCAGGCAAUAAAUGCCACACCCACACAACCCUGGGUUGUUGUCAGAGAGGAUGGGACAGUGCUAAUGGCUCACUGCACCUGUAAAGCAGGAUUGGGUGAAGCACGCUCCCAUGCAGCUGCACUGAUGUAUGCACUACUGGCAGCAGUCAAUGUCAAAGAUGGACAGUCCAGCACUCAGAAGGCCUGUGCCUGGGUCAUUCCAGGCAAAACAUCUCAAAUCCAGUAUGAGGAACUGAGCAAAAUAUCAAUGACCAAGAAGAAUAAAUCAAAAUCCACUACACUGCCCAGCAUUCCUGUCGCUUCAGAGGAUGAAUACACGAGGUUCUUCCAACAGCUGCAUGAGUGUGAUGUCCAGGAAGGAAAUCCCAACAGAACGGCUAUUUUGUCUGUCAUCGCGGGUCACUGACAAAUACAUACCAAAGACUGUCCAACUGAACUUGCCACAACCUCUGACAAGUCUCUUCUCGAAUGCAAGAUUACAAGCAGAUUUAUCAUCACUACUGGUAGAGAGUGAAAAGGUCUUUGAUGAUCUUCAGCUAACGGUAAAAGAGUCAUUUUCAGUAGAAAAGGCAACUAGAGAACAGUCAGCCAGCAAGGUGUGGUUUGAGCAAAGAGCAGGCAGAGUCACAGCAUCGGUCUUCCAUGAGGCAGGCAGGACGGACAGUGCCAUAUCCUAAAGUCAGAUGGGGAAAUCUAAAUGAGCCAGUAGCAAGGAUACAUUACAUCAAAGCGUUGCAAGAUCAUCACACAGAUUUCUGGGUGACAACAGCAGGCCUCAUCAUCAACACAUCUUUGCCAUGGAUCGGUGCAUCGCCAGAUUGAAAUAAAAUGUCCCUUUACCCUCAAAAAUAGCUCUCUUGCCAACAGCUGUAACACUGACACAAACGUCUGUCUAGUGGAAAAGGACAAUGUGAUGACACUGAAGGCAAAUCACAAAUACAUGUCACAAGUUCAAGCCCAAAUGCGUAUUGCAGGUGUACAGUAUUGUGACUUUGUUGUGUGGAGUCCCACUGAAAUGUUUAUACAACGCAUUCAGUUUGAUGACGUGUUCUUCAGUGAGACGUACAGCAGAAUAGUGCAGUUCAUCAAAACUAGACUUCUGCCAGAACUUUUGGGAAAGUACUUCACGGUACCACGCACAGUGGUCUCCCCAAUCUCAGAGAAACAGCCACAUUCAGGAGGCUACUGUGGUGAACCACAGGGAGCUCCAGAGGAUGUAGUCAUCUGCGCAUCAAAACUAUGCAAGCGAGGACACUUUCACAAGUCUUGCUUGCAGAUGACAAGGGUUCCAAAAGUGUGGAAAUGUUAUGAAUGCAGGAAGAUAAAGCCAAACUGAGGAACUACACUGUUAUGCAACAGACAUUGUACAAAGCUAACAUAAAAAGAUAUUCAAUAAUAUUUAGAACAAGGUUUUGUUUCCUUUUGUUCUGAUGCCAGAGUUUUCCACUGAUAAACAUGGUGUUAUUUCAGUAAUCCCACUUCGGGUAAUUUUCCAACUAAGUCGAAAUACCUUAUUAUUAAGGUACUGCGAUUGUCUUGUGAUCUUUUAAAGUUGUGUUUAACCUGCCUUCUUUAUUCCCUAUUGUUCUUAUUCUAAUGAUAUGCUUGAAAUAAAAUCUACAUUGUGAGGAGAGGAAGAUGAGGACGUGGGAUGAUUUUCUUGUCUUGUUUUUAAUCCUGUCUUAAUUUUGUGCGUUAUUAAAAUCACAAUUGAAAAAUG